rnacentral:rRNA from 1 species
GUGAGGAAUAUUGGUCAAUGGGCGGGAGCCUGAACCAGCCAAGUCGCGUGAAGGAAGAAGGAUCUAUGGUUCGUAAACUUCUUUUGUAGGGGAAUAAAGUGCAGGACGUGUCCUGUUUUGUAUGUACCCUGAGAAUAAGGAUCGGCUAACUCCGUGCCAGCAGCCGCGGUAAUACGGAGGAUCCGAGCGUUAUCCGGAUUUAUUGGGUUUAAAGGGUGCGUAGGUGGUUUGAUAAGUCAGCGGUGAAAGUUUGCAGCUUAACUGUAAAAAUGCCGUUGAAACUGUCGGACUUGAGUGUAAAUGAGGUAGGCGGAAUGCGUGGUGUAGCGGUGAAAUGCAUAGAUAUCACGCAGAACUCCGAUUGCGAAGGCAGCUUACUAAGCUACAACUGACACUGAAGCACGAAAGCGUGGGGAUCAAACAGGAUUAGAAACCCCAGUAGUCC